GACCAUCAUGAGAGACGAUUGUGG
rnacentral:siRNA from 1 species